GAUUACCUCAGUAACGGCGAGUGAAGCGGUAACAGCUCAAAUUUGAAAUCUGGCCUCACGGUCCGAGUUGUAAUUUGUAGAGGAUGCUUCGAGCAUGGUCUGGCCUAAGUUCCUUGGAACAGGACGUCAUAGAGGGUGAGAAUCCCGUAUGCGGCCAGGUGCCUACGCUCAUGUGAAGCUCCUUCGACGAGUCGAGUUGUUUGGGAAUGCAGCUCAAAAUGGGUGGUAAAUUUCAUCUAAAGCUAAAUAUUGGCCAGAGACCGAUAGCGCACAAGUAGAGUGAUCGAAAGAUGAAAAGCACUUUGGAAAGAGAGUUAAACAGUACGUGAAAUUGUUGAAAGGGAAGCGCUUGCAACCAGACUUGCGCGCGGCCGAUCAUCCGGUGUUCUCACCGGUGCACUCGGCCGUGCUCAGGCCAGCAUCGGUUUUGGCGGCUGGAUAAAGGCCCUAGGAAUGUAGCUCCUCUCGGGGAGUGUUAUAGCCUAGGGUGCAAUGCAGCCUGCUGGGACCGAGGACCGCGCUUCGGCUAGGAUGCUGGCGUAAUGGUUGUAAGCGGCCCGUCUUGAAACACGGACCAAGGAGUCUAACAUCUAUGCGAGUGUUUGGGUGUCAAACCCAUACGCGUAAUGAAAGUGAACGGAGGUGAGAACCCUUAAGGGUGCAUCAUCGACCGGUCCUGAAGUUUACGGAAGGAUCUGAGUAAGAGCAUAGCUGUUGGGACCCGAAAGAUGGUGAACUAUGCCUGAAUAGGGUGAAGCCAGAGGAAACUCUGGUGGAGGCUCGCAGCGGUUCUGACGUGCAAAUCGAUCGU
rnacentral:rRNA from 1 species